UGACGGGUAGCCGGUCUGAGAGGAUGUCCGGCCACACUGGAACUGAGACACGGUCCAGACACCUACGGGUGGCAGCAGUCGAGAAUCAUUCACAAUGGGGGAAACCCUGAUGGUGCGACGCCGCGUGGGGGAAUGAAGGUCUUCGGAUUGUAAACCCCUGUCAUGUGGGAGCAAAUUAAAAAGAUAGUACCACAAGAGGAAGAGACGGCUAACUCUGUGCCAGCAGCCGCGGUAAUACAGAGGUCUCAAGCGUUGUUCGGAAUCACUGGGCGUAAAGCGUGCGUAGGCUGUUUCGUAAGUCGUGUGUGAAAGGCGCGGGCUCAACCCGCGGACGGCACAUGAUACUGCGAGACUAGAGUAAUGGAGGGGGAACCGGAAUUCUCGGUGUAGCAGUGAAAUGCGUAGAUAUCGAGAGGAACACUCGUGGCGAAGGCGGGUUCCUGGACAUUAACUGACGCUGAGGCACGAAGGCCAGGGGAGCGAAAGGGAUUAGAUACCCCUGUAGUCCUGGCAGUAAACGGUGCACGCUUGGUGUGCGGGGAAUCGACCCCCUGCGUGCCGGAGCUAACGCGUUAAGCGUGCCGCCUGGGGAGUACGGUCGCAAGAUUAAAACUCAAAGAAAUUGACGGGGACCCGCACAAGCGGUGGAGUAUGUGGCUUAAUUCGAUGCAACGCGAAGAACCUUACCUGGGCUUGACAUGUAAUGAACAACAUGUGAAAGCAUGCGACUCUUCGGAGGCGUUACACAGGUGCUGCAUGGCCGUCGUCAGCUCGUGUCGUGAGAUGUUUGGUUAAGUCCAGCAACGAGCGCAACCCCUGUUGCCAGUUACCAGCACGUGAAGGUGGGGACUCUGGCGAGACUGCCCAGAUCAACUGGGAGGAAGGUGGGGACGACGUCAGGUCAGUAUGGCCCUUAUGCCCAGGGCUGCACACGUACUACAAUGCCCAGUACAGAGGGGGCCGAAGCCGCGAGGCGGAGGAAAUCCUGAAAACUGGGCCCAGUUCGGACUGUAGGCUGCAACCCGCCUACACGAAGCCGGAAUCGCUAGUAAUGGCGCAUCAGCUACGGCGCCGUGAAUACGUUCCCGGGUCUUGUACACACCGC
rnacentral:rRNA from 1 species